UCUGCAAAUGUGAGGGUGCAGGAAGAGAGAAAAGGACACAUAAACAUCACAUUAGGGGUUGAGGCUGUGAGAAAGUAACCUGGGCACUUCCAAAAUUAAGCUCAUUGAAAUCACGUGCAGCCUUUUGGGAGGACUGAAUGCAUCCCGCCCUUGCCCCCACUCUCGCCGCAUCCCGUUGCCUUCUGGAGGGGCUGUGUCCUGCCUGAAAACACAGGAGAUGCGCAGAGGCGACUCUGGCUGAAGCCCUACACGCCUUUUUCUGCUCCAUCUCUCGAAUGACGGAGGAGCUGGACUUCCAUCACUCGGCUUGGGGUUCUGACUAUGAAAACAGUAAAAGCAGGCAAGCCGAGCCCAGCUCCUGCCAGCAGACCAUGUGCUCCACGCCCUUUCCUGCCUUGCAGCUGUUUGCUGGUCCCCCUCCAGUUUCUCCGCAUCUUUCCCUACUGAAUAUCCAGAAGAAGGGAUAACAAUAUCCUUUUAUCCGUGUCUCCUCACGUGGCCCAGCAUGUGGUCAAUGCAAUCACCAGCAAUGACAAAUAAAACUUGGUUUUGCACACAGGUUUAACAACUCUCUGGAAUGACACAUCAAUCUCAAUUCACAGGUCUCUCCCUUCGAGACACACUGGUCUUGGGGUGGGGUUUCUCUUU